rnacentral:rRNA from 1 species
GAUGAACGCUGGCGGCGUGCCUAAUACAUGCAAGUCGAGCGAACGGACGAGAAGCUUGCUUCUCUGAUGUUAGCGGCGGACGGGUGAGUAACACGUGGAUAACCUACCUAUAAGACUGGGAUAACUUCGGGAAACCGGAGCUAAUACCGGAUAAUAUUUUGAACCGCAUGGUUCAAAAGUGAAAGACGGUCUUGCUGUCACUUAUAGAUGGAUCCGCGCUGCAUUAGCUAGUUGGUAAGGUAACGGCUUACCAAGGCAACGAUGCAUAGCCGACCUGAGAGGGUGAUCGGCCACACUGGAACUGAGACACGGUCCAGACUCCUACGGGAGGCAGCAGUAGGGAAUCUUCCGCAAUGGGCGAAAGCCUGACGGAGCAACGCCGCGUGAGUGAUGAAGGUCUUCGGAUCGUAAAACUCUGUUAUUAGGGAAGAACAUAUGUGUAAGUAACUGUGCACAUCUUGACGGUACCUAAUCAGAAAGCCACGGCUAACUACGUGCCAGCAGCCGCGGUAAUACGUAGGUGGCAAGCGUUAUCCGGAAUUAUUGGGCGUAAAGCGCGCGUAGGCGGUUUUUUAAGUCUGAUGUGAAAGCCCACGGCUCAUCCGUGGAGGGUCAUUGGAAACUGGAAAACUUGAGUGCAGAAGAGGAAAGUGGAAUUCCAUGUGUAGCGGUGAAAUGCGCAGAGAUAUGGAGGAACACCAGUGGCGAAGGCGACUUUCUGGUCUGUAACUGACGCUGAUGUGCGAAAGCGUGGGGAUCAAACAGGAUUAGAUACCCUGGUAGUCCACGCCGUAAACGAUGAGUGCUAAGUGUUAGGGGGUUUCCGCCCCUUAGUGCUGCAGCUAACGCAUUAAGCACUCCGCCUGGGGAGUACGACCGCAAGGUUGAAACUCAAAGGAAUUGACGGGGACCCGCACAAGCGGUGGAGCAUGUGGUUUAAUUCGAAGCAACGCGAAGAACCUUACCAAAUCUUGACAUCCUUUGACAACUCUAGAGAUAGAGCUUUCCCCUUCGGGGGACAAAGUGACAGGUGGUGCAUGGUUGUCGUCAGCUCGUGUCGUGAGAUGUUGGGUUAAGUCCCGCAACGAGCGCAACCCUUAAGCUUAGUUGCCAUCAUUAAGUUGGGCACUCUAAGUUGACUGCCGGUGACAAACCGGAGGAAGGUGGGGAUGACGUCAAAUCAUCAUGCCCCUUAUGAUUUGGGCUACACACGUGCUACAAUGGACAAUACAAAGGGCAGCGAAACCGCGAGGUCAAGCAAAUCCCAUAAAGUUGUUCUCAGUUCGGAUUGUAGUCUGCAACUCGACUACAUGAAGCUGGAAUCGCUAGUAAUCGUAGAUCAGCAUGCUACGGUGAAUACGUUCCCGGGUCU